UUUAAACCUUGUCCCCGUGUCAGAGGGUGCAGGCUGAAUAAUGAAGUGCCGGCGCCUGCGGACACGGAGAUGGGGAGGGCUGGGAAUCUGAUUGUUCCGCUGCGCACCAGAUCAUUUAACAUGCACUGGAUGUAACUGGGCAGCCUCGAUCCCAUCAUCUACCUGGCAGACGCUGACAGCGCUCUUCUCCCCGGCAGGUUUUCACCGGAUUGCGCCGCCGAGCUUCUCUUCUGCGUGUUUACAUUUCGGCUUCCCCGCCUUUACCUGCGUACUCUUCAGCUGGAUGGACCUACAGGCAGGAAUUGAAGGAUACUGGACCAGAGAGCCAGCAGAACAACUCCCCCACUUUUAAAGAGACCUCUCCUCUCAACACUGCCGCAGCUGAACCGCAGUGUACGACAGUCUGUGUCAUUUCUGUUGCUCCAGACCUCAGGUACAUUGUAACGCUCGUAAUUUAUGCUUUGCAAGUUGACGUGGCCCACUUUUCAGUAAUACUUUUACCAAGUUGCAUCCACAGUGACUAUCUCGCAUCCAACUUUGAAGCGGUGUUUUCAGCUUUGCCUUGUUGGGCUAAGAUAACAGUUGCAAUGUGCUGAUGAAGAUAAAGCCAGAGAUGGCAGUGUUGCCACAUUUCUGUAACAAAGAAGCAUGGUGUGAUAACUUCCCACUUUUGGAAGAGAGGAACUCACUAAUAAGCCUUAUCAUAGAGCAAUAAACUCAUAAUGGCCAUAGAGCAUAGGGUGUCUUUGAGGGUGCCUGUUGACUACGGCUUACUGCCUGCCGUAAAGAUGGUAUUUCUGUUACCGUAACGUUUUAACAGAUAGACAUUUUUCUGCAAGGCAUUGCUGUUGUGUGUCAUUAGAAAGGCUCCAAGCAGGAAAUCUCCUUUCCCAUAGCUUGUCAAUGAUAUGUCAUAGUAAACCUGGACAGCAAGUUUAAAAUGGCCACCACUGUAAACCAGGGUUCCCCAGUUCCGGUCCAGGAGGGCUAGUCUGUGACACAAUUUGCAGAUUUCCCUGCUCAAACACACAUUAUUGUCAGACUGUCCCUUCAGGGGAUCCUUGCUGUAAACCUUUAUAAGAUUCAACUCACAAUAUAAUGCAAUAUAUAUGCUGUAAAUGUUUGUCCCAGUAUGUUAUAGACUAAGAAUCUUAUAUGAAAAUGUGGGGUAGCUUUUUAAAAUAAAAAAUAACCAUUUUGUUUAUGUUUGACAAAGCAUUUUUUUUUAUUACACUAAGUUCAGUCAUUUGUCUUCCGACUUUGUCCUGAGCAAGUUCUUAUGUAGCAGACACCUGUAUCUAAUAGCAAUAAUGUACCUUGAUAAACACAUAUAAUAACAAGCAGCAUAUACAGUAAAGUUUUGAGAGAUUGGCAUGAUUCUUCUACAUGCAGGAGGUGGGAUGAUCAGGCUGUUACCAGGGAAACCAAAAGUUCUUUACU